UACGUAGGGGGCGAGCGUUGUCCGGAAUUACUGGGCGUAAAGCGUGCGCAGGCGGUUAUGUAAGACAGAUGUGAAAUGCCCGGGCUUAACCUGGGAACUGCAUUUGUGACUGCAUGGCUAGAGUUUGGCAGAGGGGGGGUAGAAUUCCACGUGUAGCAGUGAAAUGCGUAGAUAUGUGGAGGAACACCGAUGGCGAAGGCAGCCCCCUGGGUCAAGACUGACGCUCAUGCACGAAAGCGUGGGGAGCAAACAGG
rnacentral:rRNA from 1 species